UGCUCCUACGGGGGGCAGCAGUGGGGAAUAUUGCACAAUGGGGGGAACCCUGAUGCAGCAAUGCCGCGUGGGUGAGGAAGCACUCCGGUGCGUAAAGCCCUGUCAGCAGGGAAGAAAUAGCGACCUUUGGGUCGCCAGACGGUACCUGACUAAGAAGCCCCGGCUAACUACGUGCCAGCAGCCGCGGUAAUACGUAGGGGGCAAGCGUUAUCCGGAUUUACUGGGUGUAAAGGGAGCGUAGACGGCAGCACAAGUCUGAAGUGAAAUGCCGGGGCUUAACCCCGGAACUGCUUUGGAAACUGUGC
rnacentral:rRNA from 1 species